UAUAUUUUUCUUCUUUGUUCUCUAUUCUUUUAAUCUUUUUCUCCCUCUCUUGCUUCCUUUUGUUCUCCAGGGUGGCCGGUGUGGGCAGCUGGUGGCUUCCAUAAACUUCAAAUCUUUUUCAAGAUCAUGCAUUCUUGCAACCGGGGAAGAAUGGCCUACAAAGCCUGAUUGGGACCACAUAUAUCCCGGAUUUCCUUGGACUGACUCAACUAUUUGUCCCAGCUCCAAGUUUCAAGAAGCCAGUCAAGAUUGUCAGGAAUUCAAAGUUGACUGGGAUGGCAACCUCAGAAGCCAUGUCCUGAAGACAGCAAGGCCUCCUCAGCCUGGGUCCUUGAAUGACUGCAUGGAGGAGUGCUGCUCCUCCUCACCUGAACACUUGCAAAGGAUGGUUACAGGACAAAGAAAGAAACUUGGGUGAAGUCACUAGAUUUGGAGAUCUGUAUGUUACUGAUAUAGUUUGGAUCUGUGUCCCCGCCCAAACCUCAUAUUGAAAUGUAAUUCCCCGUGUUGGAGGUGGGGCCUGGUGGGAGGUGACUGGAUCAUGGGGGCGGAUUUCUCAGGACAGUGAGUGAGCUCUCGUAAGAUCUGGUUGAGUGUGCGGGCCCUCCCUGCGCUCUUUUUUUUUUUUUUUUUUUUUUUUUUUUGAGAUGGAGUCUCACUCUAUUGCCUAGGCUGGAGUGCAAUGGCGCUAUCUUGGCUCAUUGCAACCUCUGCCUCCCAGGUUCAACUGAUUCUCCCGCCUCAGUCUCCCCAGUAGCUGGGAUUACAGGUGCACACCACCACACUCGGCUAAUUUUUGUACUUUUAGUAGAGACAGGGUUUCACCAUGUUGGCCAGGCUGGUCUUGAACUCCUGACAUCGUGAUCCGCCCACCUCGGCCUCCCCGAGUGCUGGAUUCCAGGCGUGAGCCACUGCACCUGGCCACCACGUUCUCUCCUGACAUGUGUCAUGCCUACUCCCUGUUCGCCUUCUGCCAUGGUUGGAGGCUUCCUGAGACCUCAUCAGAAGCAGAUGCUACUGUGCUUCCUGUAAAGCCUGCAGAACCAUCAGCCAAAUACAUUUCUUUUCUUCAUAAAUUACCCAGUCUCAGGUAUUUCUUUAUAGCAACACAAGAAUGGCCUAAUAUAGUUACUGUGGCUUAGCCUAUCCUUAAUGAAACACUAUGUGUUCCAGAUAUUUAAAGCUGUCAUUUUCAACCAGGGACAAUUUUGUCCUCCAGGGGGCACUUGGCAAUGGCUAGAGACAUUUUUGGUCGUCACAAGUGGGGACGGUGGUGGUUCUAUUAGCUUCUAAUGGAUAGAAGUCAGCCUUGCUGCUAAACGUUCCUACAACGUACACAACUCUCCCUCAUAGCCAAGAACUAUGCAGUCCAGAACGUCUAUGGUACUGCUGGUGCCUGCUCUAGAGAGAUUAAGAAGAGGGCUGAACUUUGAACCUUCUGUUAUAGUCAAAGGGGAGGUAUGCAGUGAAAGCAGUGGGUUUCGGAGAAAGGCCUGCUUUUCAGUUCCAGCUCAACCACUAGCCAACUAUGUGACCUGGGGGAUAAGUCACUUUGUCCUCUGUACAUUCAAUAUUCUCAUGCUAAAAUAGGAAUUAAACUAGUACCCACAUGAUGGGACAGUGAGUGAGCAAAUUAAGUGCCUAGUGCCUGAUACAUGGUAAGUGCUCAAAUAUUAAUUGCUGCUAAUGUUAUUUUUUAGUGUUUUUGUAUUAUUGAGGCGUCUAUCUAGAAAAUUUAGAAAUGGUAGCUGAAUAGUAUGUUUAUAGCUGCGGGAAUCUAUUGAGGUGAUGGGGAUGGUUACAAAACUUAAGAUGUCACAAGACACUCAUUGCCUACAUUUUGACUCAAGAUCUAGCCAUAAAAGUUUGGAGCAAAUAACCCAACCUGACAUCAGUCACAAAGUACACAUGAACUCUUGUGUUCAGCCGACAGCUACUUUUGCAGAGCAACUCUGCAAAUCUCAACUCAUUUUGCUCUCACCGAAUGCUGCCCACCUUGAACUGUUUUCAUUGGUCAUUAGCAAUCAAUCAGCAGGUAUUUAUAUCACAUUCAAAAUGGGCAAACCCAUUAGAAAUGAAAAGAAGUGAAAGAUCAGUUCUCCCUGCCCUCCUUCCCAGAUCAGGUUGCAGUAUGAAGAUAUGAACACUCAAAAUCACUCACUGUUGCCACCUUCUAGGUUUGUGCUGCUGUUGUUGAGGUGGUGAAAGACGAGAGUAAGGUUAAGGUAAGGUGGGGAAUAAGGGGUCAUAAUAACAACAACAAUAACACAGAGAUAUGGAAAUAUGUAGUCAAAGUGAGAUUUUUGAGAGAUUAUGUAAAAUGAUUAGAUGUACUAUUUAAGGAGUGACUCCGAAAUAAGCAGAAAACUAACACGUUUGUCUCCAAAUUAUCAUAGAUAUUAAAUGGUUUUAAGAAAGAUCUCAUUCACCCGUUACGAUAAAAUCCCUUGGAGGAAAAAAAUAGACACAUUCACAUAAAAGUGCUCAAAUGCCUCAUAAAAAAGUACAUUAAAUGAUGCCAAGUACCACAGUGUAAGUUCCUUAUUAAAUCCACCCACAUAACGAGCCUUCAUUUAAAACAAUCCCUACCAACUCCUACGCUUGAGCAUGGAACACAUUUUUCUCCCUCGGUAUUUAAAAAACGUUAGUCUAAGUGAACCUUGUAAGAAGUGUCCAAUAAAUGUUAUUUAAAUUGGAGGGAAAAUAUGGAGAGAAGAUAUCUGUUAAGUAAAAAGACAAUAAAAUCUGCGACAAUUCCCCUCUUCUCAACAGCCUUCUUUCUUGGUGCAAAACCUGCCUCUUUUAGUCCAGCAUCCUAAGCAGGUAAGGCUGGGCCAGGGAAUGCCUAUGCACAACCAUUCCACUAUGGCUAAGGAAAAAGAGUAAGAUGCACACUGCCCUUUCCAUACCAAACAAUUUUGUCUCUCUAGCAGGAUCAAUGGGAAGACAGGCUUAAUCAGAAACCACCUCCACACUUGACAGUACUGUCCUCAAGGGAGGGGUGCCCCCAGGACAAAAGCCAACUCAGAUUCCAUUUCAUCCAAGUCACAGACAUCUCACAGGGCUAAGAGCUAAGUGUCCAGGCAGAGUAUGUGCUGAAAUCACUGCACAAGCUCUCUGGGCCUGAAUCCUGGAUUUCCUUCUUUCAUUCUGCACAAAUUUUGGAGAAGGUUUGCUUCCCCAGCAUAAGACAGUUUUCAAUUAAUUGGAUAUCACCAGUACAAAGAGAAGCCUCUUCUAGGCUAUGGCAGUGGGGAGAAUAGCUUUCAAUGUGUUUCAGGGCACUAAGUGUGUGAAAAACACCCUUCUCUCUUUUAUCUUCCCUGACACUGUCUGUACGAUCACUCAAUAAACAAAGAGUCCACAUAGACUAACGAACACAGAGCUUGGGGUUGGUGAUCACCAUUCUAAUCCUUGUUUAGCUACAGUUUUGAAUAAUGCUGAAUGCUUCCCAUAAAGAUAUGCUUAUGCUUCUGCUGUUUAAAUUUUGAACAUCAAGGCUAGAAUACUUAUGGUUUUUUUUGUUUUUUUGUUUUUUUUUUUG